GGACAGAAUCACCAUAAUGAAUUCCAAUUUUAUUUCAUGUUAACCUUGGCUUAAACCACUAGGGUUAGGUGGAACGUAGCCUUUCUCCUUUUAUAAAUAUUAUAUGCAGAUGGGAAGAAAGAAAAAUUGGGCAUUUGGCUAAAGUCUGGAGCUUUGACUGUGGAAGUGCAAAGGGGUUUCACACUUCCAAGCAGCUAACUCUUAUCAUUUUUGCGUGCAGUGGUUCUCUGAUUCCCCACCUUCACCUUCAGCUCUUGUUCUCCCAAUUAUCCCUGCAAGAUAAGUUGAUUUCCCUUCAUUAAUUUCUCCAAAACCAGCCUUUUAUUUUGGGUUUCUUGAAAUUUCUUGUUGCUUAUUUACAUGUCAUGUUUAUUUGGAAUUUAAUUGAUGACCCUUUAAUUUAAACGAGAAAUUCUUGUCAAGAAGUUUGAUUAUUUGAAGUGUUCAGGUUUAUCAAGCUUCUUUAAAUUUCUUUCCUGAUGCGACAGUAUGUAAAGUAUUUACCAAAUUACAAUUCCUUUUGAUACCUAAUUUUAACAGACUAAUCAAAGUUCAUCAAAGAGUGUAUGUAUGUAUAUGUGUGUGUGUGUGUGUAUAUAUAUAUUUUAAACCGUAAAAGAAAGAAUUUUGAUUUGAGAUUGAGGUCUAGAAAAGAAGAUUUGGUAUGUGUCAUUUCUGGGAUUUUGGACCACUCACGCAAAGAUGAUACGAAUUAAUGGUUGGUGUUAUGUUGUGUGCACCUUGCACUGUAGGAAUAAUCUUUUCCGGGCAGAGUGACAGGAUUCAUGUUCUUGUUACAGAAGGUAAGCUUUAGAUUCAAUAUUUGGAAGGUAUGAUGUGAGCUCCAUCUUUCUGUGACUGCAAAGUUUCAAUUGGAUUUGGUGAUUGUGCAGAUUUAUCAGUUUAGACUAACUUCUUUGUUUUCUUUGUCCUUUUCUUUAUUGUAGUUGGAAUUGCCAGAUUCAUAGGGUUGUUUGCUGGUAGGAAAAUGAUGUUUUAAUUGUUGAAUUGAACUUCUAAAGCAGAUAAGAGCAGGGCCUUGAUCCUUGAUAACUGGUGGUUUCUGUUGCUACUAUCAAUGACUUCUAACAGAUUAGUGGUUUCUUUAUGUAAUGCGGUCAAUUAUUAUAUUGGUAUGAUGAUAUUGCAAGGAAAGUUGCUAUAGCAGAAGAGGCUUAUGCAAGUCUUUCAGAACAUUCUGAUAAGUUAGGGAAGGAUUAUGGUUCAAUUCUAUAUUUGCAACUUGUUUUAAAGAAUUGUGGAGAGGUGAGCAAUUAAAUGUCUGCUUUUGGUAUUAUGAACUUCAGUCUUCUUACUUUUUUGUACUUAAUGCAGUGUUUCUUCCAAGAAUGACAUAGUUCUUGAAAAGACUCUGAAUAUCCAGUAUUCAUGGGGAAAAAGAUGAUUUGGUCAUAUGCUGGUCAUGAUUCAGUAAGCCAAAUAGCAGCAGUUAAAGACGCUUGAACUUGCAGAUCUCUUUGCAUUGAAUAUGUUGUUAUGCCUCUCUGAGUUGGUUACCUAUUGUUCAAACAAUUUGUUCCUCUGCAAUUACAGAUUUAUUGACAUUGGUAGUGUGGAUUGGCAGACAAAUAUCAAGACCAUAAUGAGUCUUAAUCUUAUCCAGUUAAUGGGAACUCCCUUAUCAUCAACAUCUUAGGCUUUGAAAACUAAAUGUGCAUUUUUCUGGAAAGAAAGGUGCAGUUCACCAUGUUGGUAGUAUCAUAUUUGCACAUGUAUUUGACCACUGCAAAAACAGAUGACACAAGAAAAGAUUAACAGAGACAAGAAAUAGUUCUGCAUUGGCUUCUUGUACUCUCUAAGACAAGCUUAUUUUUGUUCUGCAUGUAGCUGGAUUAUUCAUGAGAACCGCCCAAGCAAAUCUUUGGUCCACUAUCUUUGCUGGGAACAAAUGGAGGCAGCGCUUGUCUGGGAUGAAAAGGAGAGCUCUUUGGCGAUGUGGUUGACUGAAUGGUGAGAGAAUUAGAUUGUGGAGAGCUAAAUGGUUAUCUGCAGCAGGAAAGGGGUCACUUUAGCGAAGAACCUAGUUCUAUGCAUGUGAUUGAUCCAUUUCAGUUUCCUUCAGUUUUUAGGGGAUUUGGAAAGUUGGGUGCUAAUUCUUUUUCGGAUCAUCGUUGAGCGUUUUAUCUAAUGAAUCUACUGCAUUUUCUUUAUCUCCUCCA